rnacentral:rRNA from 1 species
GAUCAUUAGUGAAACAAUGUUUUGCUGUUUAAGAGCUGAGCUGGCUUUAGCAUGUGCUCGCUCUGGCAGUGAUUCUUUCAUCCACCUGUGCACCUUUGUAGGGAAGAGAGACGUAGUGAACCGAACGGGGAACUGUUGUCUUUUCUGACCUAUGUCUUUUUAUACACCAAUGAAUGUUCAGAAUAUGUGGAUUUGAAAGGGUUUAAAAGCCUUUUCGAAAGUGUUAAAUACAACUUUCAGCAACGGAUCUCUUGGCUCUCGCAUCGAUGAAGAACGCAGCGAAAUGCGAUAAGUAAUGUGAAUUGCAGAAUUCAGUGAAUCAUCGAAUCUUUGAACGCACCUUGCGCCUCUUGGUAUUCCGAGAGGCAUGCCUGUUUGAGUGUCAUUAAAUUCUCAACUUCAAAAACCUUGUGUUCUUGAAGCUUGGACGUGGGGGCUUGCUGGCUUGUUCUAGAGUCGGCUCCUCUCAAAUGCAUUAGUGGGGAGACUUGGUUUGCAAAGUCUACAUUUAGUGUGAUAAUUAUCUACGCUAUUGUCGGGGUCUGCAAGCUCUUUGGGGGGUGUUCGGUUGGGGAGUUGCGACUUGACGGUUGCUCUCUCUGUUUCAAUGAACCCCACAGGAGUUCAAGUGUUUUCCUGCUUCUAACUGCCUUCUUUGUGAGGCAAAUUCCUUGACUUUUUGGCCUCAAAUCAGGUAGGACUACCCGCUGAACUUAAGCAUAUCAAUAAGCGGAGGAAAAGAAACUAACAAGGAUUCCCCUAGUAACUGCGAGUGAAGAGGGAAAAGCUCAAAUUUAAAAUCUGGCCGCAAGGUCCGAGUUGUAAUUUAGAGAAGUGUUACCCGCGCUGGACCGUGUACAAGUCUCCUGGAAUGGAGCGUCAUAGAGGGUGAGAAUCCCGUCUUUGACACGGACUGCCAGAGCAUUGUGGUGCGCUCUCGAAGAGUCGCGUUGUUUGGGAAUGCAGCGCAAAAUGGGUGGUAAAUUCCAUCUAAAGCUAAAUAUUGGCGAGAGACCGAUAGCGAACAAGUACCGUGAGGGAAAGAUGAAAAGAACUUUGGAAAGAGAGUUAAACAGUACGUGAAAUUGCUGAAAGGGAAACGCUUGAAGUCAGUCGCGUUGGCCGGGGAUCAGCCUUGCUUCUGUGAGGUGUACUUCCUGGUCGACGGGUCAGCAUCAGUUUCGACCGCUGGAGAAAGGCAGGGGGAAUGUGGCAGCCUCGGCUGUGUUAUAGCCUCUUGUCGUAUACAGCGGUUGGGACUGAGGAUCGCAGC